UUUUCCAGCUGGUCAGAGGGACCUCUGUAAGCACCACUCAGCUCUGGCAACAAAGACAUGCAAGUCCAGUUCAUGCCUGAACAGUGAUGCUUGAGGUGACCUUUACCUGCUGAAAAUCCUACUACCCUCUCAUCUACUCCUUGUCGUCUCCUAGAUCACAGCAGAAAAGGACAAGGGCAAAACACAGCUAGCCUGGUCAUGAACUACCACUUGGGGUCCAUCAUGUUGACCCUACGUCCUGGAGCUGAAGUGAGAAUAUUUGACAAAAGGAAAAGAAAACACAUAUCUAAGAGAAAAAAAUCUAGCAUAGCCCACACAGAACAGCUAAAGUAAAAGAUGUGACAACAAACAAGCUCUGCAGUCAAGGAAAGGGUAAAAUCUUGGCUCUGCUGAAGUCAGUGGGAUGUUUGCCAGAAAGCUGUAGACAGCAUGUUUUAUCCCGGACUUUUAAUUAGUUAUUAAAUGAUUCAAUGGCAAGUUGGCUGGUUCAAGGCACAAAAAAAUCAUAGAAUAGCUCCAGCAUGCCUCUCCCUGCCCUGCCUACCCCUUGGGAGGUACAGAUCAUACACGGCUUUUUUUAUGGGAGACUUGGCAGGUAUUUCAUUGAACCUUAGUUGAAAUUGGUAGUUUCCCAGGCCCUGCCUCCUUCCCAAGUUUGGAGAUGAAGAUAGGAAACACCUGCUAAUGACACCAGAGACCCAGCAAACAGCAAAAGUCACAUGUCAGCAGAAGGCACACUGGAAGCCUGGCCUCUCCAAUCCAGACACAACCUAUCUGAUGGGGGGGAGUGUAUAUGAAGAAAUAGAACAGUACAUUUAUUUAAUUGACAUGCAUUUGAAUGGAUUGGAACUAUUCUGGAGUGACAUACCCACAAACAAAUAAGGCAGCUCACUGCCUUCAGGCUUAAGUCACUUUACUAACAGCCCAACCACCCAAAUGAUCUAUUCACACCGCACACUUCUCUUGUUCCACCUCAUUUUUCUGUUUCUCUCGUCCUCCCGCUUUUCCCCUCUCCAAAGGACGUCGGUUUCCACGGAAACAAAACACGUCAUCGGAAUGGACAGAACUUGGUGACAUCCCCAAGCACAGACAGAAAAUGCAAUUUAGGACAGUGCCAGGGAAUACAUGGGAUAGUGGACUCCAGGCUCAUGCCACUUUUGACUCCCCACUGGCCCACCAAGGCUCAGAUGGUUGACUUGCAUCAAGCUCCUCACAGACAUGGGAAUACAUUUACCCAGAAAGGUCCACAGUGCACAUUGGCUUUGCUGAUAAACUUAUCAGCAGCAGAGUGAAACAUCCGUUUCAUUUGUGCUGUUUAUGCAGAGGCUUUUUUUCUGGUUGGUAAGUCAGGAUUGAGUGAACAGCAUGACCCUGCAUUUUCUUCCAUCCCCCAUGAAAGCUGCUCCUUGCAGCAUGUGCUACGCGUCAGAAGAUGGGGAGAGACUGCGUCAAGGAUCAGCCCUCCCCUACCCCAGUGCUGAAGGUCUUCACCUUUCCACUGGAGGUGGUCUAUCCCUACACAUCAUUCCCAGCCCCAACCCAACCUCCAGAGAUGAGGAAAGGCUGUGGCACUGUAUGUGGAUGCCGAUUACAUCUUCAAACAGGAGGAGCACACAAUCGGUGGGAUCCGCCUGCUUUCCAGCCCCUUUGUGCUCAGGGGCAGAAAUACAAAUAAGCCUCAAUGUCUUUUUCCUGCUUAUGUGAACCAAGAUCCGUUUUUCAAUAGCAGGCCCUGGCAGAUAAGUAUUCCCUAUUCUCAGUAUUUAUUUUUGGGAGGGAAAGCCUUUCACUGACUCCCAUAACACUCCCCUCCAGCACUUGGGAGGUGCAAUGGGAUGGCAGGUAGAGCUGUGAUUCAGGGAUGCUCCUACACCCGCUGGAAGCUGGUGUUGCCAUGCCAACCUGCAGCCUGUGCACAGGCAGCCUAGGGCACUGCAGGCUGCUACAGGGUCUAUGUUCUUGCAGAUAGAUUAGUCCCAGGACCCUGCAGUGGAGGAUUUGGUUGAAGCUUCAACUGCAGAAUGGAUGAUGCUGUCCCAGUGCAUUCUCGGCUCAGCUGCUCAUCUCCUCCCUUAGCCUUGUCUCAGAGAAAAUAGGACCAUAAACUUUACUAGGGAGUUUUCCCCCUAAAUGAAUUACAUCACACAACCAUUACUAACAGUUUGUGUUUUUUUCAGAAGGACCACAGAGAGACAAGUGGGUAGGAAUGGCAACAAUCCUCCCAACAAGCCCAGGCACCCCUGGCAGCAGCCACACCCGCCCUUCACCCACUCAGCAUGUCACGUCAUGUGCUGCGUGAGACAGCACCCAGAGCCCAUCUGAAGCACACACAGGACAUGACCAAUUACCUUUCCUCUGCUUAGACUCACCAAGAGGGACAUUUUGAAACUGUUCUUUCCGAAAAGCACUAAGUGACAAAGCCAGCUCUGUGCAAAGCCAGCAGAGGUGGAGGGCACUGCUGACAGCUCAUAGGAUAAAGCUCAUGUUUGGAUUUUACUGCCUUAUUGGAGAACUCCCUGGGUAAUUUUCUGGGUAUUUUCUAGGUUACUUCCUUAUUGCUCUCUGGGUAAACUAGGUCAAAACACUUGCCUUGCCUAAACCUCAGUUUGUCAAUAUAUAAAAUAAAGGAGAUGGGACAAGUUGUUCCCUGCUUUUUCCGCAUGGACUUCAACCUUAUGAAAAGUCCAUACAAUGCCCCUCUCCUUCAUUAGAGCCAGAAAACCUCUGAAAUCCCCAAAUUCAGACAAGCCAUAAACUGUUGCAUAUUGCUAUAAGCAGUUAAAGAGGAGCAUGUGUGAAAUAUGGACAACUAGAUGGAUUAAGAAAGAUGUGCUCAGAGUUGGGCAGCUUUUUGUCCCUAAGAGGAAAAGAAAAAAAAGUACAUAAUCUGUAAUUGUUUUUCCUUGAUCAGCCUUCCUGCUACAGUAGGAAUACCCUUACAAAUCACAAUAUCUGAAGUCCAAAGAAGCAUUAUAGGAACAAAGAGACUCUACCACCCACUGUGCUGAAUCCCAGAGCUGGCUGCUCCUUCCUGAGAUACUGCAGUACUUCCCAGCCUUGUUGGCUGCCAUUCUGCACACACUGUUCAUUUACCUGCACUGAUCUUCUCAAUCAAAAGCUGAGCAUUUAAAACCACUGUAACCUCUGGGGGUCCUGCAGCAUCUAUAGUGGGAUCUGAUAAAGUGAAAGCUGCUAUGAGCAGACAAUACAGGCACAGAGGUGGUCAAGUGUCUUUGAGUCUGAAUUAAUAAAUGUGUCUGUUAGUUUGCCGUAACAAAAAGGGUUAGUCUACAGCACCACAGAUAAGAAACAAGGUUUUUUGAAGAAGGUAGGCAUUUUUUUGAAUAGGAUGUCUGCCAGCAACCAUGUUUAACUGCAUUGUUACCAUGCAGGGUAACAUAUACUGACUAACAGCACUUAAGACAUGAGACUGUUCUACGGAGAGCCUCUGUAUUUCAGUGUCUGCAUUAAAUAUGGCAAUAAACUUGGACAAAUUUCAGUGUAUGUUACAUUGCAUCAGCACUCUCGUACUAUCUAUAGUUUCUAUCUUUUCUCAUAGGAUAAAAUCUAGCAAUCUGGAUAGAUUUUUUUACAUUAUUGAUUCCUUACUCUUUUAGUGCCUCAGAAUUUGGGGGUAAUUUUGUCAUCAUGUCUCUAAAAAUGUAUCCAGUCUUUUCAGGAGCAGAGAUAACCAAAUUAAGAACUGUAACUUAGCAAGACCACUACAAGGAGACGGAGGAGGAAAGCUGUUGUCAGAACAGUAUUGCCAUGACUGUUGUUUCCUACGGCAUCCUUUGGCUGCCUUCCACUCCCUAAGUGCCCCUUGCCUGGCUCCUCCUCCCCACACUUCCACCUGUGAGCCAUUUAUCUUAUGUUUCAUGGCCCUGCGUGAGCUCUCUCCACUUUACAAUAUCUUCACAAGUCAUUACUAUGGACAAUAUAGCUGGGCUUGGUGCACAGGUUCAAUAGUGCAAGUCCUUUGAACUGCAUUCCUCAAGUCCACUUUUCAUCCCGUUAUCAGACUGACACUGAAUAAAGGCCAGGUGGAAAGUCCCGGUAGGACAUGCACUCCUGUGGCUGUCAUUCACAUAACGGCUAUGAUAGAAAAGGGUUGGCAAGAGACCUCACCAUACACUGAACUAUGUGAAUUAUGUGUGUUCAGUCUAAUUGGAAUGAUUUCUGAUAUCUCAGGGUCAAAGUCUCACUUUUCAUAGAGGACUUAUUUAUCAAUGACACCUCGCUAGCCAGAAUCAGAACUAGUUCUGCUUAAUCAGUUACUAUGGACAGAAAUACAUUCAGUCAGUGACUCUCAGACAUGAUCUGGCUCCAGGUCUUGAAAUGAGAACCAUUUGCCACACUGCCCAACAAUAGCAAUUACACAGCUGAGGCUGGGGGUUCAAGACAAGAAAGCUACUUGAAGAUGUCCCUCACUGCCUGUUGGGAAAAAAACCCCCAAACCCACUACACACCAACAAAAGAAAUAUCUAAUUUUUGACAGUUUUAAAGUUUCUCUGCUUGAUUUCUUGCUACAGUAGAAUAAAAGAAAGUGCCAUAGUAAUGGCCUUCAGCCACACGAGGUCCUUUAACAUGUGUCUUGUGCUGCUCUCCACAGAACCUAUAGUUAUGUGCAUCCUGGAGCAUCCCUGCACAUACAGUUCCCAGAGGGGCUUUGCAAACUGCUCAUAUAACUGUUGCAUUAAAUUACAUUUAGCUUGAGUGAUCAGUAGCUCAGCAGUUGAAUUCUGGCUCUGAUUUCUAAUAACUAGAAGCAUCUGACAUAAUGAAAGCCCUUAGAGAAGGCACAGGGAGAGAAAUAACUGUGCUAAUUAAGCUAUGCAAAGUGCCUUGGAGAAGAGUGCUCCACUUCAAGGAUACCCUGACAUUUCUGACCCAUUACAAGUAUCAGCACAAAAAUUUCAAGAAUUUAAUGUGGAGUGUUCAGUUGAGACACAGAUGAAAAGAAAUCAUUAGAAUUUAAAACUGAUUUUUUCCUUACAGCUCAGUAAACAUCCUUAGCCACUAAUGUGGUUAACUUUGAUUGUACAGGGGUAGAUCAUCCUCAUAAACAUGAUAGAAAACCACACUGGCCUAGCACAUUUAUGAUGAAUUCUUUGCUUGCAGUGCAAAUGGAAAUGCAAUAGUCCUAUUGCUGUAUCCUGCUUACUACUUAAAAACCAUUUUUCUAAUUUAUUUCCAUCAUUUGAACCUAAGGACACAGAGGAAUGUUUUGAAUUUUACAUAAGAUACGUAUUUUCUUCUGAGAGCGAACCUGUAAAAAUGCAGCCCAAUUAAUAAUGCACUUAGCAUCUUUCACCUCCAAACCCUAUAAUUUUUAAAGUAUCCUCACAGGAAACAUUUUGUUGUAUCUGUUUUAAAGCUGUCUAAACUAAGGCUUGAAAAAAAGAAAGUUACCAAGGUCAAAAUGCAUGUCAGGUACAGAGUUGGGGAGAGAAAUCCCGAUCCAGAGUCCUAGUUGUCUGCUCUACCAGUUCACUGGUAUUCCUUUCCUUGCCUGUGUUUAGGAACAGAUUAUCUGGAUGUCCCACUCAAAUAAAAGGUGUUGAAUGGAAGACAACUCUUCUUCCUAAGAUGGUUUGGAGCCAUGUUCUAGGACAACAGCUUGCUACUAGUACUAACUGAGGGAGUUGCAGUGGAAGUGACUGAUGAACCUGAGAAGAAUCCAAAUAUAGACAACCUACAGUUCCAGCUUUUUCCCUCUGACCUCCUAACCAGAGUAAUAUCUUGCAGAGAGAAGUCUAGAUCCCAUUGAAUGGGAGAAAGUUGACUGGGAAAGGCAGCUGAAUUCCUUUGAUGGCAGAGCCAAGGAAGAAAACUAUAUAACUCUUCUGUUACAAAGUUUCCACUGGACCAAAAACAAAACAAGUAUUGUUUGGUUACACAUGAGACUGGCUUUUUAAAUACUCAUCUGGGCCUCCUAUUCUUUCUCCAGUUCUGAGUGCUGUGCCCUCGUGCCUUUGCUCCCCUCCUGUGGCCACACAGCUGGGCUUGGAGAAUCUGUGCUCUGAGUCGUGCUGCUCUGCAUUUCCUAAAGGGCUCACGUGCCUGUCUAAGCUGCCUUAUAGGGUGAUAAACUGAAAGAGAGUAGAUUUAGAUCAGGUAUUAGGAAGAAAUUCUUUACUGUGAAAGUGGUGAGGCCCUGGCACAGGUUGCCCAGAGAAGCUGUGGCUGCCCCAUCCCUGGAAGUGUUCAAGGCCAGGUUGGAUGGGGCUUAAAGCAACCUGGGCUAGUGGAAGAUAUUCCUGCCCAUGGCAGGAGCGUGGAACUGGAUGAUCUUUAAGGUUCCUUCCAAUCCAGGGAUUGGAUCUUAUGAUUCUAUUACGCUAUUUACAGUUUUAAUACAACAAGGAACAAGAAAGAUUAUAUUUCUGUUGCUUUACUUACAUAAGGAGCAAUGUAACUGGCUCUCCCUGUCUCAGUCUUGUGCUAUUAAUAAAGUCCAUGUGAGGAAUACACAAAUUUACACCACGUGUGAAACCUGUACACGUUAACUAGUCUCAAGCUAGAAUAGUUUCCAUGCCGUGUGUCUCCAUAUAGCCCAUCUUUCUGGCACAUGUGACCCAGAAAUGUGUCAUCAGGACACACGUAGUCACUGGACCGAUGAAAGGAAUUCAAGGGAAACAGAAGCAAAAAUUCUGCUUCCAAUCUCUGCUCAGCUUUUGUUGCUACUGCUCUCUGAAGAAGUUAGCAACACAUGAAAAAGAUGUCGUCAUCCCAACUUGGCCCUGGUUUUACCUUUCAUACAGCAGGCUUUUAUGUAAAGCCAUACUUUCCCAGAGAUUAUGAAGAAAAAGGAACUAAAAUCCAUGGCUGUCAGUUUUUAAAAGCAAAUAAUCACUCCCACGCAAUGGCUGAAAGGCAAACUUGUACCUAAAGACUUGCAACUGGCAUCACUGACAUUUUUCAUUGUCCAAUCAAAAUGUUAAGAAUAAAAAUAAACAGAGCCCACAGAACAAAAUACACUGGAUUUUAACAUUCUUUCACAAUUCAUAACCAAAGCUGCGGUCAGCAACAUGGAGCGAGAAAGACGUUUGGUUAUAAGUCAUGACUUCAAUCUGAGAGUCUCACUGGCAUUUCCUGGAAAAUUUCCAAAUUAAAUGGUUGUCCAAAUUAGAGACAUUCAGACUAAAGAUGAAACACCACAAAUAAGCUAUUUUGUCUAGAAUAAAUAAAAUCAAACCAAUAAAAUGCUCAAGAAGAUAAUUGUUACAA